UACGGAGGGUGCAAGCGUUAUCCGGAUUCACUGGGUUUAAAGGGUGCGUAGGUGGGCAGGUAAGUCAGUGGUGAAAUCUCCGAGCUUAACUCGGAAACUGCCGUUGAUACUAUCUGUCUUGAAUUUUCUGGAGGUAAGCGGAAUAUGUCAUGUAGCGGUGAAAUGCUUAGAUAUGACAUAGAACACCCAUUGCGAAGGCAGCUUACUACGGGACAAUUGACACUG
rnacentral:rRNA from 1 species